AAAAAUUUAGUUUAAUAAAAACAUUAGUUUGUCAAGCUAAAAUUGCUAAAUUAGCAAUUUUUA
rnacentral:tRNA from 1 species